UACAGAGAGUGCAAGCGUUAAUCGGAAUUACUGGGCGUAAAGCGCACGUAGGCGGAUAUUUUAGUCGGAUGUGAAAUCCCCGGGCUUAACUCGGGAACUGCAUCCGAUACUGCAUAUCUAGAGUAUGGUAGAGGGAAGUGGAAUUUCCGGUGUAGCGGUGAAAUGCGUAGAUAUAGGAAGGAACACCAGUGGCGAAGGCGACCACCUGGACUGAUACUGACACUGAGGUGCGAAAGCGUGGGGAGCAAACAGG
rnacentral:rRNA from 1 species